rnacentral:rRNA from 1 species
UACAGAGGGUGCAAACGUUGCUGGGAAUCAUUGGGCGUAAAGCGCACGUAGGCGGCCUAGCAAGUAGGGAGUGAAAGCCCUCGGCUUAACCGAGGAAGUGCUUUCUAAACUACUAGGCUUGAAUACUGGAGAGGGUCGCGGAAUUCCCGGUGUAGAGGUGAAAUUCGUAGAUAUUCGGAAGAACACCAGUGGCGAAGGCGGCUCACUGGACUGGUAUUGACGCUGAGGUGCGAAAGCGUGGGGAGCAAACAGG